ensembl:rRNA 5S_rRNA 5S ribosomal RNA
GUCUACGGCCUACCACCCUGAAUGCACCCGAUCUCGGAAGCUAAGCAGGGCUGGGCCUGGUUAGUACUUGGAUGGGAGAAGUAAGGUAGAAAAUGAGAACAAUUGAUAGGCGUAGGAG